GAGGCGCGUACACACUGUACCGUCACUCUCACCGAGCCACGGCAUCCACAGUACAUAGAAUGUUAUCCUCGGGAAGGGGGAGGCAAGUCGUAACAUGGUAAGU
rnacentral:rRNA from 1 species